UAGAGGAAGUAAAAGUCGUAACAAGGUCUCCGUUGGUGAACCAGCGGAGGGAUCAUUACUGAGUUACCGCUCUAUAACCCUUUGUGAACAUACCUAACUGUUGCUUCGGCGGGCAGGGGGUGCCGCCCGCGGACCCCCCUCCCGGCCCUGCCCUCACGGGCGGAGCGCCCGCCGGAGGAUACCAAACUCUGAUUUAACGACGUUUCUUCUGAGUGGCAAAAGCAAAUAAUUAAAACUUUUAACAACGGAUCUCUUGGUUCUGGCAUCGAUGAAGAACGCAGCGAAAUGCGAUAAGUAAUGUGAAUUGCAGAAUUCAGUGAAUCAUCGAAUCUUUGAACGCACAUUGCGCCCGCCAGCAUUCUGGCGGGCAUGCCUGUUCGAGCGUCAUUUCAACCCUCAAGCUCUGCUUGGUGUUGGGGCCCUACGGUUGACGUAGGCCCUUAAAGGUAGUGGCGGACCCUCUCGGAGCCUCCUUUGCGUAGUAACUAACGUCUCGCACUGGGAUUCGGAGGGACUCUUGCCGUAAAACCCCCAAUUUUUCAAUGGUUGACCUCGGAUCAGGUAGGAAUACCCGCUGAACUUAAGCAUAUCAAA
rnacentral:rRNA from 1 species